GCAAGGAAUAUUGCGCAAUGGGCGAAAGCCUGACGCAGCGACGCCGCGUGAGGGAAGAAGGCCUUCGGGUCGUAAACCUCUUUUCUUGGGGAAGAAUAAUGACGGUACCCAGGGAAUAAGUCACGGCUAACUACGUGCCAGCAGCCGCGGUAAUACGUAGGCGGCGAGCAUUAUCCGGAUUUACUGGGCGUAAAGCGGGUGUAGGUGGUCUUUCAAGUCGGAUGUGAAAUUUCCCGGCUCAACUGGGAAGGGUCAUUCGAUACUGUUAGACUGGAGGGCAGUAGAGGGAGGUGGAAUUCCCGGUGUAGUGGUGAAAUGCGUAGAUAUCGGGAGGAACACCAGUGGCGAAAGCGGCCUCCUGGACUGUACCUGACACUGAGGCCCUAAAGCGUGGGGAGCAAACAGGAUUAGAAACCCCGGUAGUCC
rnacentral:rRNA from 1 species